rnacentral:rRNA from 1 species
UACGGAGGAUGCAAGCGUUAUCCGGAUUUAUUGGGUUCGAAGGGUGCGUAGGCGGUCUUUUAAGCGUGAGGUGAAAUGCCGGAGCUCAACCCCGGAGUUGCUUCGCGAACUGGAGGACUUGAAUGCUCCUGCCUUGGGAGGAAUGUGUGGUGUAGCGGUGAAAUGCAUAGAGAUCACACAGAACACCGAUUGCGAAGGCAUCUCACGAAGGGGCGAUUGACGCUGAGGCACGAAAGCGUGGGGAUCAAAC